AGUGAACGCUGGCGGUAUGCCUAACACAUGCAAGUCGAACGGCAGCACAGUAAGAGCUUGCUCUUACGGUUGGCGAGGGGCGGACGGGUAAGGAAUACAUCAGCAUCUACUUUUUCGGGGGGGAUAACGGAGGGAAACUGACGCUAAUACCGCAUACGACCUACGGGUUAAAUCAGGAGAGAAUCGGACCUUUCGCGAUUGAAUGAGCCGAUGUCGGAUUAGCUAGUUGGCGGGGUAAGGGCCCACCAAGGCGACGAUCCGUAGCCGGUCUGAGAGGAUGAUCAGCCACACUGGAACUGAGACACGGUCCAGACUCCUACGGGAGGCAGCAGUGGGGAAUAUUGGACAAUGGGCGAAAGCCUGAUCCAGCAAUACCGCGUGGGUGAAGAAGGCCUUCGGGUUGUAAAGCCCUUUUGUUGGGAAAGAACAGCAGUAGGUUAAUCCCCCGAUGUUCUGACGGUACCCAAAGAAUAAGCCCCGGCUAACUUCGUG
rnacentral:rRNA from 1 species